GCAGUGGGAGCACAGGUUUACCUGUGUGACUGCGUACCUUUUGUAUAAUGGGUCAGCGACUUAUAUUCUGUAGCAAGGUUAACCGUAUAGGGGAGCCGGAGGGAAACCGAGUCUUAAUUGGGCGUUAAGUUGCAGGGUAUAGACCCGAAACCCGGUGAUCUAGCCAUGGGCAGGUUGAAGGUUGGGUAACACUAACUGGAGGACCGAACCGACUAAUGUUGAAAAAUUAGCGGAUGACCUGUGGCUGGGGGUGAAAGGCCAAUCAAACCGGGAGAUAGCUGGUUCUCCCCGAAAGCUAUUUAGGUAGCGCCUCGUGAAUUCAUCUCCGGGGGUAGAGCACUGUUUCGGCUAGGGGGCCAUCCCGGCUUACCAACCCGAUGCAAACUGCGAAUACCGGAGAAUGUUAUCACGGGAGACACACGGCGGGUGCUAACGUCCGUCGUGAAGAGGGAAACAACCCAGACCGCCAGCUAAGGUCCCAAAGUCAUGGUUAAGUGGGAAACGAUGUGGGAAGGCCCAGACAGCCAGGAUGUUGGCUUAGAAGCAGCCAUCAUUUAAAGAAAGCGUAAUAGCUCACUGGUCGAGUCGGCCUGCGCGGAAGAUGUAACGGGGCUAAACCAUGCACCGAAGCUGCGGCAGCGACGCUUAUGCGUUGUUGGGUAGGGGAGCG
rnacentral:rRNA from 1 species